rnacentral:lncRNA from 1 species
AAAGAAAGAAAGAAAGAAAGAAGAAAAGAAAGAAAGAAAGAAAGAAAGAAAAGAAAGAAAAGAGGUGACUUGCCUAAGUUCUAGGCUUCUGCAGUAAAUUUUUUUUUUAUUUUUUAAUUUCUAAUUUUUGUGGGUACAUAGUAGGUGUACAUAUUUAUGGGGUGUAUGAGAUGUUUUGAUACAGGCAUGCAAUGUAAAAUAAUAAACUUAUGGAAAAUGGAGUAACCAUCCCCUCAAGCACAUAUCCUUUGUGUAACAAACAAUCCAAUUAUACUCUGUUAUUUUAAAAUGUACAAUUACGUUUUAUUGAUUAUAGUCACCUUGUUGUGCUAUCAGACACUAGGCCUUAUUCAUUCAUUCUAACUAUUUUUUGUACCCAUUAUCCCUCCCCAACUCCCCUUCACUACCUUUCCCAGUCAUUGGUAACCAUCUUUCUACUCCCUAUCUCCAUAGGUUCAAUUGUUUUGAUUUUUAGAUCCCACAAAUAAAUGAAACCAUGUGAUGUUUGUCUUUGUGCCUGGAUUAUUUCACUUAACAUAAUAAACUCCAGUUUCAUCU